rnacentral:pre_miRNA from 1 species
GGCAUUCAAAGACGGUACUUACCUCAGUAACAUCUUUGAAAGUAAACAUUCUAAGACGUUGCUGAUGUAAGCACCGUUUUAGAAUGCC